UUAAUAUCUGAUACGUCCCCAUCGGGGGACUACAUAUUAAAUGGAUUUUUUCGAACAGGGAGUCGGAAAUGGGGCUUGCUCCGUCCGCUCCACGCAUCGACCCGGUAUUGCAGUACCUCCGGGAAUGGUGCAACACUU
rnacentral:snRNA from 1 species